CAGAAUUGGUGCAACCACUUUGGGGAAAGGUUUGGCAGUGCAUGCUAAAGUUGAAAAUGUAAUACCCUACAACCUAGCAACUCUACUCCUAGGUUCAUGACUUUUAGAAAUUUGUGUACAGAUUUACAGAACCAGAUCACAUAAACAAAAAUGUUAAUAUCAGCAUGUUUUGUUGUAGACAAAAAGUAGAGGUAAUUCAGGUGCCCAUCAAAGGGAGAAUGAGCAAAUAAAUUGUUGUUUGUUCUCACCAUACACAUGAGGAAAAAAAUGUUUCAUAAUUUACAGAAAAUAGGGAAAAAGAUGUCAGUCUGAAGGAGCUUGGUUAAUAUGGACCUUGAACAAAAUAGGAUUCUCAGAGGAUUGUUACAUUGGCAAGGCAAAUCCAAAUAUUGUUUAGAAGAGAAAAUGACGGACUUCAAGGACUCUACUUGGCUGGCCUUAAUGACACUAUGUUAGAAACACUUAUUAGACCCCGGUCUAAUAAUAUUUGUAUUUGACCCUGGUCAAAUAAUAAUAUUUGAAUACCUGGUUCAAAUAAGCAUUCUUUCUUAUAAGUCAAAUUUACAUACAACAGGAAUGGUAGCAAAUUCAACUGUGAUUUUUACAAAACCACAUGCGUUGUGAUUUUAUUCUAGCCAUGAAAAAAAUGUGUGCCCUCCUUAGUAAAUAACACUACUAUACAUUCCAGAAAAUGCCAAAGUAUCAAACACCAGAUUGAGAAUUGAGACCUAUGCUGUUAUGCUGUUGUGUUGGUAGCUUACUAAGAUAACUAGAAACAAAGUUACAUGAGGAAUUAUAAUUAUACUGGGAAUAAUAGCUUUGUGUGUAUGUGACAAUAACUAAUGUAUACGUGUAUGUGUGUGUGUGUGUGUGUGUGUGUGUGUGCAUUUUGUUAGCCAGGCUGGUCUUGAACUCCUGACCUCAAGUCAUCUGCCUGCCUCAGCCUCUCAAAGCACUGGGAUUACAGGCAUGAGCCGUCGCACCCCACCUUGAUAAUUCCUCUUGAAGCGCUACUGGCUACACUCCUGUCAGAUGUCUUCUGAUGUACCUGUGCAAGAAUUUCUCCUGGGUAUAUAUCCAAGAGUCGAAUAUCUGGGUAUGUGAUUGUUCAAUAACACAAGAUAAUGACAAAUUGUUUUUCCAGAGUGGAUAUUCAAUUUAUACACCAACCAUUAAUGUAUAAGAGAUCUCACUGACCAAUAUUCUCUUUAGAAAGUUGGCCAGGCAUGGUGGCUCUUUCCUGAAAUCCCAGCACUCUGGGAGGCUGAGGUGGGAGGAUUGCUUGAGCCCAGGAGUUCAAGACCAGCCUAGGCAACAUAUCAAGAC
rnacentral:lncRNA from 1 species